GCCGACAAGGCUUUGCAUCGCCAGCCCCGCCCCCGACUCGCGCGCGUCGCUGUGAUUUGCAUAAGGAGCAGACUCCUCCCCAGGCCGCCCACCCAAGCAACCUCUCGUUCCUCUCUGGGCUUUUUCUCUGAGCGCCGAAGCCAAGUGCUACGCGGAGUGGCAGAAAGGGGAAAUAAAAGACAAACUUCAGGAAGGUCAAAGGCAAAUAAAUGAAGUUUGGGAAACACUGCUUUAAGUCAAGACUGCUCACUCUGGACCUGCUCACUCACUCUGGACCAUCCCAGCAGGCAGAUGAAAGCUGAUGGCUAGGCCUGUCUCCAAAGCAUGUAAGAAUUGUGAAAGGAUCAUCAUUUCUGAGGGAAGCCUGCUGUCAUGCUAUGAGGACACCUAGUCAGCCUUUGGAGAGGUUUGUAUGAUGAGAAACUGAGGCCUCUUGCCAACAGCCACUACCAACUUUCCAGCCAUGUGCAUGCAGCAUCUUAGAGAGGACCCACCAGCCCAGUCAAACCCUCAGAAGACUGCAAC
rnacentral:lncRNA from 1 species